rnacentral:rRNA from 1 species
CCAAGUCAGGUGGGAUACCC